AAACAUGAGAGUUUGAUCCUGGCUCAGAACGAACGCUGGCGGCAGGCCUCAAACAUGCAAGUCUAGGGGGUGUAGCAAUACAUCACCGGCGGACGGGUGCGUAACGCGUGGGAAUGUACCUAUUGGUUCGGAACAACUGCGGGAAACUGCAGCUAAUACCGAAUGUGCCCGAAAGGGGAAAGAUUUAUCGCCAAUGGAUCAGCCCGCGUAGGAUUAGCUAGUUGGUGAGGUAAUGGCUCACCAAGGCUCCGAUCCUUAGCUGUUCUGAGAGGAAGAUCAGCCACACUGGGACUGAGACACGGCCCAGACUCCUACGGGAGGCAGCAGUUGGGAAUCUUGGACAAUGGGGGAAACCCUGAUCCAGCCAUGCCGCGUGAGUGAUGAAGGCCUUCGGGUUGUAAAACUCUUUCGACGGGGACGAUAAUGACGGUACCCGUAGAAGAAGCUCCGGCUAACUUCGUGCCAGCAGCCGCGGUAAUACGAAGGGGGCUAGCGUUGUUCGGAAUUACUGGGCGUAAAGCGCGCGCAGGCGGCUAUCCAAGUCAGUGGUGAAAGCCCGGAGCUCAACUCCGGAACUGCCAUUGAAACUGUUUAGCUUGAGGACGAGAGAGGUGAGUGGAAUUCCCAGUGUAGAGGUGAAAUU
rnacentral:rRNA from 1 species